CGGCACAGAAGAGUGCGGUAGAGCAGCGCGACGGCAGUACGUUGUUCGUCAGCUUUUUUCCCUCUUCUGCCGCAGCCCUUCCCUCUCCAUGUAUCCUGCACUUCCUCGCCGGCUCGAUGGGUGCAGCGGUGGCAGCGCCGCCGCAUCAUCAUGCCAGCGCGUCGCGCCGGCUGCUGCUCCUUUCGUUUCACAAAGCCGUGGUGCAGCGGAGAACGGUGGGUACGUUAUCACGCCGACGGUGGCGCAAGCGGCACCGCCAUCUGUGCAGGCAACCAAGACGGCGCGCAGUGGACGUCUGUUUGUAAACCACAACACACAGUUUUCUGCCCAGUCUGGGGCCGCGGUACCCGCUCCCUUGACGGCCUCCUUCACCGCAGCAGCAGGAGUGCUGUCAGCGCCUUUGAUGCGUUUGCACGCCGGCAACCGCAGUCCGGUCAUCCGACCCGGGGCGAGGAUUGGAGCUCACGAUGGUGUCGCCGCUUCUGUUUUUGCGGAGGUCCAUCUAGCCGCAGCGUCUCUUCGCUCCUCAGCGCCGUUCCGGCCUGCGCACGGCACCGACCGGCAGGGUCUUUUUCGCGGAAGAACCGUCCCAACAAUAGUUGACGCACCCCAUGACACCAGAUCCCCUCUGUCGCUUGAAAUCGAGGGCGUGCAGACGGGAGAGGAGGUGGUGGUGGACGUGCCGUCCGUGCGACAGCGCAGCAGCACCAGCUCCAUCUCAAACGAUGCGGCGCAGCUGCAGAAGCUGCGCCGCCAGCUGGAACAGGCGACAGCAGCCCUCAAGGCCGCGGUGAACACGAAUCGCCGACAGAAGCAGGAGCAUCAACAGCAGCGGGCGGAGUGGCUUGUGUUUUCCAACGAGAGCGAUGCUCGCUUGCUUAACGUACAGUCCAACCAGGCGAGCCGAGAGCAACUCCUUUUCAGCGAGCUCAGUGACGCCAUCACGCAUCUUCUCGGCGAGUUAAAAGCUCAGGCGUUGAAAAAGCGCGCCGCCGAUCAGGCACACGCGAGCGACAAGGCUGAGUGGGACGCAAAGCAAGCCGUGCUUCUGAGCGAACUGGAGGCUGCGAGGGCGGCGCUUGCCACUCAGUUCACCGCCGCCAACUCGGGUGACACACAUAAAGAAGAGGCUGAUCAACUUCGCGCCGAGCUGGAGGCCCUGCGGCGCAGCGCUGGGGAUCAACAACGAAGCUUGGAGGAAAAACUCAUGCAGACGCAGUCCACUCUUCAGGCGAAACAGUCGGAGCUCAACCGGUACCUUCAAGAGAGGGACCAGCACAACUACUUGGUUGCACAGUGCCGACUUUUUAUUCAGCAGGUGUGCCAGCCUGGGUUCAGCGUCGUGAAGGGGCCAUCACUGGAGCCGGUGGAGACGCAACGCCCUGAGCCGACAGGGUUUGUGCUGGUUCCGUUAGCGGUGUUGCUGCACGGCUACGCGCUCCUCACCGAAGGCGACCGCCAGGCGUUGAUCGAACACUACGAUGGCAAGGCGAAAUCUCUAAAGUGAGAAUUCUUGCGCACAGCCGGCACUACGCCUCCUCCUCUACAUAGGUGUUUCUCUACCUCUGCCUGUGUGCGUAUCUCCUUUUGUAUCCAUGUACAAGAGCGCCUCCUUCGAGAGGCUAUCACCAC
rnacentral:misc_RNA from 1 species